AGAUGUGGACCUGGCAUGCUGGCUGUGUCUGCAGUGACUUAUAGGGUAGCAAAACACAUUCCUGUUCCUGAGAAGUAAAGCAGACAAAUAAGCAGGGUAUCAGAAGACCCGAUGGAUGACCUGGGCCGAUGGGUGAUGCAGAUCCUUCCUUGACCCAAAGUCCAGUCUACCAGCUCCAGUGCCAAGAAUCCCUGUAUGUGAGUUGCCCUUAAUAAACUGUGUG